UAGGUGUGAUAGAACUAGUUAAUAUUUCCUGCCAGCAGAGGUGUGAAGAAAGAAAAAAGAAUUAUUUAUCUUCGAAGCAUCUUCCUCUUCUUUUUUGUUCCCAUAUUACAAGUUUUUAUGAACCUCAGGAAAUGGAUUUCCUCUAAAAACGUGUUUUUUAAUAGAUAUCCUCAUUUUCUUAUAUCCUAUCAGAAUUGAAAGGAAUAAAAUCCAUGUUUUCCCCGUGUAUUAAUAAAUUACCCAUAAUCAUUGUUCAACUUUUGUUUUCUACCCUUCUAGACAUUUUGUGACUUAAUUAGAAUAAUAGACCUUUCUCAUUAGUAUGAGUUCUUUUACUUCCUGUAAACAAGCACACUAAAAACUUUAAUUUUUUCAGAUGGACUGAGCUGUGUCCAAUGAUUGAAGCCAGGAAGAAUCAUGGGCUGGUAUUUGUAAAAGACAAGAUAUUUGCUGUGGGUGGUCAGAAUGGUUUAGGUAUGUGAUGUUAAUUCACUGUUCCACUUUCCUGAUGAGUUUGCUGAUACUUCCUUAAAUUAUUGAAGCAUUUUUAAAAAUCUAGAUAGAAGCAUUUACCAUGUAUAUUAUUAUAUCUAUUUUUAUAGUUUCUGGGAAUUAACAUACUUGAUAAAAUAUCGCAGGAUGUUAAACAUUCCUGUUUAUGAAAUGUCGCAGUAGUCACCAGUCAUUGUGACAAUUUUAGAUGGCUCCUAUACAUUCCCAGAUACCUCCUGGGGAAUGAUGUCGCACCAGCUUAAGAACUAUUGAGCAAUAGAAAUAUUUGAACUUUAAAAAACCUUUAAAAACUUUUUAAAUACAAGUUUUAAGGCUUGUAUCCAGGUCCUAAAUGGUAAAGUUUCCUAAAUAUUUUUAAACAUUGCAUGAAAAUAUCAAUAUUGUAAUUUUUAAAUGACUAAAUUUGGCAUUUUGUUUUCAUAAAUAAUGUACUAAAGAAUCUUAAAUAAUUGUCUUAAAUGAAAGGGAGUCGGAACUGAAUCUAGACACAAGCUUCAAUUUAGUCAGUACUUUAAGCAUCACUUAAGUGUACCAGUAACUUCUUUUCCUUCUUCUGUCCCUGUCCAUUGCUAUUUUCCAUAAAGUGCUAAAAGGAGGAAAAAGAAGGACAUUUGAGUAAUUAUAAUCAAAGUUAAUCAGAGGGGAAAUCACCGAUUGGUUUAUUUUGCAUUUUUCCAGAAUAGAUAAAACAUGUUUAAUUUUGUAGAAAAAAAUCAAUAUUUAAAAAGAAAUAUUAAAUGUCUAUUGUGUUAAGAGUAAGAAUUUAGGUGGUGGCUAUGUGGACAUUCACUGUAAAAUUAUUACAGUUUUUCUGUGUGUUUGACAUUUUUCACAAUAAAAUAUUGGAAAAAUACAAAAAGUUAUUACUUUAAGAAACCUUAGAAUUGUUGAUAUAGUUUUUCAUGUUGUUCAUGUUUUAUUCUUUUGAAGGUGGUCUGGACAAUGUGGAAUAUUACGAUAUUAAGUUGAACGAAUGGAAGAUGGUCUCACCAAUGCCAUGGAAGGGUGUAACAGUGAAAUGUGCAGCAGUUGGCUCUAUAGUUUAUGUCUUGGCUGGUUUUCAGGGUGUUGGUCGAUUAGGACACAUUCUCGAAUAUAAUACCGAAACAGACAAAUGGGUUGCCAACUCCAAAGUUCGUGCUUUUCCAGUCACAAGUUGUUUAAUUUGUGUUGUCGAUACUUGUGGAGCAAAUGAAGAGACCCUUGAAACAUGAAAAAUGAGUGGACUUCAGACUCAUCAGAGACUCUAAAAUAUAGCCACCAGUGCUUUGUUCCAGGAGUUUGGUGACAAAGUUUUGGUUUGGUGUUUUGGUAAAGAAAGUUUCAAGUGAAAUGAGGUUCCUAUAAAAUAGAUGUUUCUUUUAUAUGGAUUUCCUUAAUUCAAAGAUCAUAUUUUAGCUGGCCACAAAACCAAGAACAUAUCUAGCAAGAAAACUUGAAAAAGUAUAAGCAUUUGUUAAAAAUGUGAAUUUCUUGAAUGAAUUUC
rnacentral:lncRNA from 1 species